AGCCUUGUAAUGUCUAGCAUAUAAAAUUGCAAAUUUUAAAGAGCAGAGUUACUUCUGCCGGGGCUU
rnacentral:tRNA from 2 species